rnacentral:rRNA from 1 species
ACGGGAGGCAGCAGUGAGGAAUAUUGGUCAAUGGACGGAAGUCUGAACCAGCCAAGUCGCGUGAAGGAUGAAGGUUCUAUGGAUUGUAAACUUCUUUUGUCUGAGGGUAAAGUGCGGUACGUGUACCGUUUUGCAAGUAUCAGACGAAUAAGCAUCGGCUAACUCCGUGCCAGCAGCCGCGGUAAUACGGAGGAUGCGAGCGUUAUCCGGAUUUAUUGGGUUUAAAGGGUGCGCAGGCGGCACGUUAAGUCAGCGGUGAAAUGCAGGGGCUCAACCCCGGCACUGCCGUUGAAACUGGCGAGCUCGAGUACGGAUGAAGUCGGCGGAAUGUGAUGUGUAGCGGUGAAAUGCUUAGAUAUGUCACAGAACACCGAUUGCGAAGGCAGCUGACUAAUCCGCAACUGACGCUCAGGCACGAAAGCGUGGGGAUCGAACAGGAUUAGAUACCCUGGUA